rnacentral:lncRNA from 1 species
UUAGGAAAAAGAACAAGAGACAGAGAGUGAAAGAUUUAUUUGAUAAUUCCAUAUUCAAACCUUCAUUACAACUAGUAACCAAAGGCCAUAAGAAAAGAAGAACAAGAGAGACAGAGCAAAAGUAAAAUCAGCCAGGGACAUGUAGCCAUGACCCCAACAUUAUUUCCACUACAGCUACUAGCCUCCUGCAACAACCAGUAUGUGGUAGACCACACCGGAUAUAUAAUACCUUUUUCUCUCCCUAGUCUCUCUACCUAUCCAUGAAACUAUAUAGAAAGAUGCAUGCAGAGGAUAUUUAUAUAUAUAUAUAUAUCUAGAAAGAGAGACAUAGAGAAGAAAAUUUAAAAUCUAGUUAUCUAGCACUUAGGGAUGGGAGUCCCACAAGUGCUAGCAACCUUCCUGGCAUUAGGGGAGUUGACAAACUUCUUGAGGUUGGGGUUCUUGAGGUACUGGCAAAGGCAAGGCUUCUGUUCCUUGAUCUUGCUACAGCAUAGUUUAGACGGUGGAGUUGAUGAUGUGAUUGCACCAACGCAAGAGCUCAGUUCCGUGGGGCUGCAUGUUACUGCCACUGUGAUGUGUGCUUCAGCAAGGAGUAGCACCAGUACGGCACAAACUGCAAUAUAUGAUACCUUCAUUUUUGCUCUCACAGAUAUGGUUGAAAGAGAGAGAGAGAGAGAGAAAGAGAGAGAGAGGAUGAGUUGAUGGUUCAUUUGGCUUGGGAAGCUUCUCAAUUUAUAGAGACUGAUGAGACUGAUGAGAGAGCCCCACAAGGAAAGAGCUAAAACCCCACAAGAAACAGGCUAAGGGGAGAAAUUUAAUUUCCAUUAAGUAAAUUCCAAGAACCC